CUCCCUCCAGGCGUGGGCCAAGCAUACAGUGUGGGGGUGCCUUGCUCCUUAGCCCCGGCCGGCAUUGCACUCGGCUUCGCCCGUCUCUCUGCCGAGAACUCGGCCCGGCCCCUCUGACUCUGGAAAUUCGGUGACGAUGAGAGAAGUUGUAAGGCUCGAAUCGGCCCGCUGGGAUUCCGGGGAAGCUGCUGUGUGAUGCGGUCUUGUCUUCUCGCCUUACCCCGAACGUUCAGCCGUGCCUUUGUCAUCUUCCUUAGGCCUGGGCAUUUCCCAGUGGAAAGACGGUCACUGCAGCUGGAGAGCUUGGGGUCAGAUCUUAGGAAGAACUUCCCAGAGCAGUUUUAGGAGUAUGGCACCCUGGGAGCCCCUUGAGGCCAGAGACCGGAUCCUACUCCUGUGUUCUCAGCAUCCUGCACACAGGAGGCCUGCCCCACACCUGCAGAUCGGGUCAGGUGCUGCUGGCUCCACCGCUCCCUGGCAUCCUGAGCUGCCCUUCGAGUGACAUGCUUCCUGAGGAAAGAGCCUUUUGGGGGACAGAUGGUACUGAGUAAAUG